rnacentral:rRNA from 1 species
CCUACGGGUGGCAGCAGUAGGGAAUCUUCGGCAAUGGACGAAAGUCUUACCGAGCAACGCCGCGUGAGUGAAGAAGGUUUUCAGAUCGUAAAACUCUGCUGUUAGAGAAGAACAAGUAGGAGAGUAACUGCUCUUACCUUGACGGUAUCUAACCAGAAAGCCACGGCUAACUACGUGCCAGCAGCCGCGGUAAUACGUAGGUGGCAAGCGUUGUCCGGAUUUAUUGGGCGUAAAGCGGGCGCAGGCGGUCUUUUAAGUCUGAUGUGAAAGCCCUCGGCUCAACCGAGGAAGGUCAUUGAAAACUGGAGGACUUGAGUGCAGAAGAGGAGAGUGGAAUUCCAUGUGUAGCGGUGAAAUGCGUAGAUAUAUGGAGGAACACCAGUGGCGAAGGCGACUCUCUGGUCUGUAACUGUCGCUGAGGCUCGAAAGCGUGGGGAGCAAACAGGAUUAGAUACCCGAGUAGUC